UCUCCUUCCUGCGUGCUCUCUCUCUCGGCUUCAUCACCUUUACCUUUUGCCAUUUUCUUUAGUGCAUACAUCUUGGUGAUAUUUCUCUCCUUUGUGGUGUUCUCUAAGUGGCAAAAGUUUUAGCAAUCGUAGGUGAAACCUUUGUAGUGUUCUUAGGUCAUUUGUUUUGGUAUUGGUUCAGAUUUUGGUAAACUGAGCCUGUAUAUCGACUUGGUGGUUGAUGAUUUCACUUCCCUACAGUGAUAAAGUGUUUCUAUCUCGAGUACUAUUAUUUUUUUUAAAUUUGUAAAUGUCACGUAUUAGAAAUUUUAUUGUGGUUCAUCGAAGAAAAAUUAUGCUUUUACAUGCACUAUGGAUCAAUUAAUUGCUUGUGAAGUUGUUAUUUUUCUCAGUUAUUCCUCGUGCUCGGCGCCAUAUUCUGCAAUCGAAGUCAUGAAAUCUCAUAGUCGGUCUCCAAGUUCAAUGAUUGGGGUACUAAGAGGUUCAAUCUCAGAUGAAGGUCGCAACCAAGAGUUUACAUCUCAAGUGUCAUCUUCAAUUAAAUCUCCGAGAUUUUCAAGUUCAUCUCCAAUGCUGAAUAACAGGAGAGGAUCAAGUUCACCAUCAAAUGCUUGUCUACAAUGCUCUGUUCCAUAUAUCAAUCCCAGUUUGAUUGAUUUUUUUGUUUUUGACGUCUUUGGCACUAUAUCGUGUUCUGAUAUGAUUUACUUCGGACUAAUGCUUCAUGUUUUUGUCCACUGUAGGUUCCAUCUUCAAGUGAACUUCCAAGGCCAAGAACUCGGACUCCACGUUCCAAUGGUUAGAUAGGAUUUGUUUCAGUCUCAAAACCGCCAUCUUCAAUUCAAGUUUUACAUUCAGCUGAAACUCCAAUGCAUCAUAAUCCAUCUUCAACUUUGAGUCGUGGCCCAAGACCCGGUCUGAUUUCCAGUGCUAAUGUGAUCACACCAUAUCAACUUUCAGCAGGUUCCCAACCUGAAUCCAUGCCUGAGAUCAAGCGAAAAUAUUACACAAUCACACUCUGGCUUAAAGAGGAAAGCAACAGAUUGUGUGGAGAGGAUGGAGCGAAGAUGCUGUGGUGUGGGUUAUUUCAUGUUCCCUGCAUGAACGAAAAUUGUUUUAAGUCACACCUCAGGGGUAAAAAACACACAGUUCGUGUUUACAAUAUCGAUAAGAAAAUGAAAGUUGAAACUUAGGAAGAGCUAAAUACGAAGAGACUCGUAAAGCAUGUCAAGAAACUGACUUUUCAUAUCUUGAAGAAGUACUUGAAUGCAAUGGUGAGUUUGUAAAUUCUUAUUGUUUCAGUAUCAGAGAAUUAUGUAAAAUUUGUUAAGUUGGCUUA